ensembl:snoRNA
GUCUUGUCAGUGAUGUUCUCAAAAAACAAAUGUCUGAACGUAUGAUUUCCAGUGAUUUCAUCUUUGUUUACUGAGACAAGAC